GGCGANCGGGUGAGUNNCNCGUGAGCCNCCUGCCCUUGACUUUGGGAUACCAGCUGGAAACAGCUGCUAAUACCGGAUAUGACCUCGUUUCGCAUGAUUCGGGGUGGAAAGCUCCGGCGGUCAGGGAUGGGCUCGCGGCCUAUCAGCUUGUUGGUGAGGUAAUGGCUCACCAAGGCGACGAUCAGUAGCUGGUCUGAGAGGAUGAUCAGCCACACUGGGACUGAGACACGGCCCAGACUCCUACGGGAGGCAGCAGUGGGGAAUAUUGGACGAUGGGCGCAAGCCUGAUCCAGCAAUGCCGCGUGAGUGAUGAAGGCCUUAGGGUUGUAAAGCUCUUUUACCCGGGAUGAUAAUGACAGUACCGGGAGAAUAAGCUCCGGCUAACUCCGUGCCAGCAGCCGCGGUAAU
rnacentral:rRNA from 1 species